rnacentral:rRNA from 1 species
CAGCCGCCGCGGGAAUACGAAGGGGGCUAGCGUUGCUCGGAAUGACUGGGCGUAAAGGGCGCGUAGGCGGUUUUGACAGUCAGAUGUGAAAUUCCUGGGCUUAACCUGGGGGCUGCAUUUGAGACGUCAAGACUAGAGUGUGAGAGAGGGUUGUGGAAUUCCCAGUGUAGAGGUGAAAUUCGUAGAUAUUGGGAAGAACACCGGUGGCGAAGGCGGCAACCUGGCUCAUUACUGACGCUGAGGCGCGAAAGCGUGGGGAGCAAACAGGAUUAGAUACCCCCGUAGUCCCUGUCUCUUAUAC